rnacentral:piRNA from 1 species
UGGAGUGUGAUUGACUAUAGGCGAGAC